GCUGCCCGUCCGGGGCGGCGAGGGCACUUUUCCCGGCUUUUUGCGGUGAAGCUGGGGGGUGUCGGGCAGAAGCGGCGGCGUCUCCCCAGAGAAGGGAGUCACUGCGGCCGGGUCGCUGAGGACUAAGGGAGGCGGCCUGCGGCAGUGGGCAGUUCACCGGGUUGGCGGUGCGGGUGUCUCUGAGCCCGGUGGGGAGAGAAAUCCCACGCCUGCAAGGCACGGCAGGCUGACCUUUUUCUGUGACUUUACUGACGCUGGGUAGCAAAAACUGGUUGCAGGCUUCUAUAUCCUUUGGGAUGUGUAAUUGAGCAUGCUGCUUCAACACAGAAGAUGAACUUUAAGGCCUUUUCAGACACAGAACACUCAACCCAACUGCUGCAGUUGAGAGAGAUCUGUGCCACCAUGGCUAGAAGAGGGAUUUAACCCUUGCAGAAAGAAGAAGCGAGUGUUAGCACAGGAAGUGGCAGUUGUCCUACAUUGGGUCCUCCCAGGUAACUUCAAAGCAUUGCCAAUGGAUGAACUGGUGCAUGACUUGGCCUCAGCUUUAGAGCAGACUUCGGAGCAGAACAAGCUGGAUGAGCUAUGGGAAGAGAUGGCCCUAAGCCCACGGCAGCAGCGGCGUCAGCUUCGCAAGAGACGGGGUCGCAAACGACGCUCAGACUUCACGCAUCAGGCGGAACAUGCCUGCUGCUACAGCGAGGCCUCAGAGUCGAGCUUGGAUGAGGCUGUCAAGGAUUGCCGUGAGGUGCUGACAGCUAAUUUCAGUGACUCUGAUGACAUGGCAGUGGUAAAGCGACAUCCAGCUCUUAGUGCCACCCUGAGGAGCAAGCAACACUUGUGGCAUGAGUCAGACUCCUUUACAGAGAAUGCGCCCUGUCGGCCUCUCAGGCGCCGACGGAAGGUCAAACGUGUGACAUCAGAGGUGGCUGCCAGUCUCCAGCAAAAGCUCAGGGUGUCAGAGUGGAACUGUGAGAGGGGCUGCAGGUUCAAGUCAGCCAAGAAACAGCGUCUUUCACGCUGGAAGGAGAAUGCCCCUUGGACAUCAUCCAGUCAUGGCCUUUGCGAGUCAGGAGAAAACAGGCCCUUCCUCAGCAACGGGGGAAGGAAGGAGCGGAUGGAGUGUGAAGCUGAUGAUCAGAAACAGGGCUCAGAUGAAAACAUGUCAGAAUGUGAAACCAGCAGUGUUUGCAGCAGCAGUGAUACUGGCCUGUUUACCAAUGAUGAAGGCCGCCAAGGAGAUGAUGAGCAAAGUGAUUGGUUUUAUGAAGGAGAAUGUGUUCCAGGAUUCACUGUCCCCAACAUUCUUCCCAAGUGGGGAGCUGAUCACCGAUCUGAAGUGGAGAGGAUUGACUCAGGCCUGGACAAGCUCUCUGUUUCUACCUUCCUUUUGCCCUCACGGCCGGCUCAGAGAGGAUUUCAUGCUCGCCUGAAUCGCCUUCCAGGAGCUGCUGCCCGCUGCCUCCGUAAAGGUCGGAGGAGGCUGGUUGGUAAGGAGACCUCCAUGAGCACUCUGAGCACCGAGAGGCUGGGUCAUAUUGUUAGUGAUCCUCGCCAGAAAGAUUUUUGGUUACCAUCCAUGGGGAAGAGAGAUCGCAACCAGUUCAAUCCGUUAUCUCCUCUGUACUCUCUGGAUGUGCUUGCUGAUGCUUCCCACCGAAGAUGCUCACCAGCACACUGCACUGCCAGGCAAGCAAAUGUCCACCUGGGACCACCAUGUUCAAGGGACGUCAAGAGGAAACGAAAGCCAGCUGCAGCCUCCAUGUCUAGCCCAACAUCAGCAACAUUAUCUGUUCACAUGGAUGCAGCAGAAUCAGAGCAACCAGCAACACCAUCCUUGAGAUCCCAGAACUCUGAGUGGACUGGGAAAACACCAGCAGCUGAGAAAUCUACUAUUGCUGCCUCCAGUAACCUUUUUAAAAUGCCACCAGAGAAGAGCCCUGGAUACAGCUAAAAGGAAGCAUUGAGACUGUAAAAACUUGCUCGAUUUUGAAAGUGUUUGACUCUGGUGUUGGUCUGCACCAAGCAUCUUGUUUGGCAGUAGUGGUAUCUUCAGUAUUGGUGCAUAAUGUGUGCCAUCAUCCAGGCUGGUCUGUGUGCCUCACACACCUAAGUCAUGUUUGUGAACCUAUGUUUAAGAAAAGAUGGGCAUAAAGAUGAACAUGGAGCUAAAGCCUAGGUUGCCUAGACUGGUGCAUGUGAGUUUUCAUUGCUGGAGGCAUUUCUAAGAGGGCCAUGAUCUGAGACUGGUCUGGCCUGACCAGGGUAUUGCAGAAGUCCUUGAGUUUUCCGUCAAGUUUUGACAACACCAGACAGUGAGCCAAAGCUACUAUCAGUUGCAUUUUAGCUUCCUCCUGCAGUCACAGAGGGCUCUCCUAAAGAUAGCUCACAAACAGGUCUACUCAGAGUCUAUGAAGAGCUGCCUUGUGCAUGUCCCAAAUAUCUUAUGAGGUCAUAAGAUUUAGCUGUUUGAUAGGACUCUGGGUUCUUGGGACUCUAUUUUAAGGUUAACAUGUAAAUAAGAAAGAUUCCUGCUUGUAUUCCACUGUUUUAAAUAAGAUGUGUAUUCUCUGAAUGAGGCUCUUGCAGAAUCUCUGUUCUGAUUAUAGAAACUGGAAAUAAAUCAAUGUAUGAAAGAAGUGUUUUAUCUGAUAUAAAGUGAGAGUGGGGGAAGAGGGGUUUUGCUGACAUCUGACUAGAUUUACAGUAUUGGGCUCUCCAUUAAUCUGCAUGCUUCCUUGACCGUUUCUGUAAGUAUAAAGUAUAAACUGUGAUCUGAAGGUCUGUAGGGAGUUACUGUGCUUUUCUUGCUUUGAAUUGCAAACUUGAGUGAAGGAUUUGAGGUAAUUUAUCAUGUCCGUUCUUUGGAGGUUUUUUGUAAUGGUUUUGUUUCCCAGUUUGUCAGGACACUGUCUCUAGACAAGUGAGAUGCACCCUGUUUGGAAUUUGAAACAAUUCCAGAAUUUCUUAAAUAGCCUUUCAUUUCUAAGGCACUGCUUCAGAUCUGCCCAGUCUCAAAUGGGAUGUCAUUUAAAUGACAGGUCAGUUUCAAUUGAUAGUUUAAUGAAUAUCAAUUCAUUUUGCCACCAUUAACAUCCUUUUAAGAUAGAUUGGCAUCUUCCUGUUUUUCCAUGAUAGCAGUUACUUCAAAGAUCAAAUGAGCAGAGGAUUUUGAAUUUUCUUUUGCCUGUGCUUGUGUCCCAGUAUUAAUAGCUAUGCAUAUUUUUGGUAGGAACAACACAGGAAUCCCUUUACCUUAACUGUUCUAAUGAAUAAACUGUAAAAAAUUAGAUCCUAAGUGGACUGAAUGUUUUUAAACAAAAAUAUCAAGAUCCUUUGGAAAUGGCUUCAAGUUUUUAACACCAUAGUGGGAGUAGAGGGUUGUCCAAUUUUUAAAGGUGAUUACUUUCCUCUCUCAUCUACAAGCUGCACCUGUGAGGAUUGGGAAUUGUUCCUGGUGAAAUAUGUUGAUUUUUUUUUUCUUUAGAUAUAAGGAGCUGGAACAAGGAGCAAUAGAUUGUCAUAUGGGAAGGGCUCAGAUUUGCCAUACUAUUGGUAAUGUCAAAAAUUUCAGAUGUCUAAAAAUUAGCUGUUUCAGUCUUACACUUACUUGCAAUUUUGUAAUUUUUAAAUUUUGAGUAAUGAAGCAUUUAAUGUGAUAAUUGGAUUAAUUUCUAUUUAAAAAGGAAAAGUUGGAUGGUGCUUUUUACAUGUCCUUAAUUUUACAUCCCAGGGCUGAGAAUUUUCUCAGUUCAGUUUGAAUAACUCACGGUAAGUUUGAUAACAGGGCUGACUAUGAUGGCAUUGAUCAAUUUUGAUAUUUUUCAAACCAUGAAACCUUGCUUCAGGCUUUUCCAGCUCAUAAUAAUUGCCUGAAACCACAGAUGAAUGCAAGCUGACUUGCUAUGUAUUAAUGGAGAACUUUUCACAUAUAAAUAAAAGGGUAUUUCAAAUCUGGGGUACAAAUUUUGUUCUCUACUGUCAUAGAGCAAUUUCCCAGUAAGAGCAGAUACUUACUUUUUAAAAUGAAAUAUCGUAUAGGGUUUCAAAGUGGUAAACUGCAUACAUUUAAUUCAUUUUUAGGAAGGGAGUGACAGGGAGGUGUCUGAAUAGGAGAAUGUGAGCAGAUCUCAGGAGCUGCUGCAAUAGGGCAGAUGUAGCACACAGAGUUUUCAAAACACACUUUAAAAAAUGUACCUGGAGAUUGGAGAACUGUACCUAAAGAUUGGAGAAAUCUUCCUCUGAGAAGUGUCGUAGCUCACAGACUGCCUGCAGGUGCUGUGAUGGCAGACCAGUGGUUCUGAUUAACUAAUGUCAGCACUGACAUUGAUGUUUUUCUAGUAAUUUUGACACCAGCUUCCUGAGAGGUUCACCAGUGUUGUCUUAGGGCUCUUCUUCACCCUGCUUCACAAAAUAAUUUGCAAGUGCUUGGACUCACCUAGCCCUCCUCCAUGGGGAAACAUGUUCCCAUUUUGAGUCAGGCACUCCUACUGCUGAAUGUUGUAUGGUGAGUGAAGGAAAUCCUGUGUUUUCUUCCUUGGCCAUCCAAGGAACAGCAAGGGGAGCUUUCGUGCAUCUUUUAUCCCUUGCUGGUCCUUUCAGAUGUGGAGACAGGAAGGAGGGAAUAAGACAUGCAGGGUUUGAUUCCUGGCUGAGGAGAGAGGGCCAUGAGAUGUGGCUGUUGUCCUGCACUCAGACAAUGCUGGGGCUGCCUGGGGAAGGUGACGUUUCACCCUCCCCACGCUGAUAGACUGCAUGACUCUAAACCAUGGGCUUCAUCUGCUUACAUACGUAUUUAGGCAUUUAAACAAGAAUCUUCUUCAGUGCCCCCACCCAUCCCUCAAGUAACAAAUAAACCAGAAAAUUUGUGCUCUGAUGAAACAAAGCUGCAAUUUGAGUGGCCCGUGUUGCUGUAAUCAGUGCCCUUCUGCAUGCACAGUGCAAUGCAAUCAGGCACUUGCAUGAAUUGUUGUUAGGUUUGAGUUUGUGUGUCUCUGUCCAUGUGCCCCCUUUCACACGAGGUUCCUGCCUUAGUGUAGGACAGGUGAGACUCCCUGAAUGUACAGCUGCUGUACAUUCUGAUUUUUUUCUCCCCCUGUACAUUCUGAUUUUUUUCUCCCCCUUAUUUAGGCUGACUUCAAGCUUUAUUUACUGCACAGCAUCCAGUCUCCACUCUGAAGAGGAAAGAAGUAAUUUCCUUGUUAGUAUCAUCAGGGUACCUCCUGCUAUGACAGCUCAGAAUAUUAAUGAAUUUGUGUACUGAGCACUUGAAUGUUAUUGUCACCUUAUUGCAUAAGUGAGGAGUUUGAGACUGAAGCAAAACCCAGGAGAUAUCUCUGAAUUUGAGGGGCCUAAGAUGAGAUACAUAGACACUGGCAAUUUGCAGGGGCUGAUUUUGUACCCUUUUGUAGGUCCACAUUACAUUUCCUACAGACUUCCUUAGCCGCUAUAAGUGCUCAGAGCUUCUGCACAUCCAGCCACAAUUACUAAUGAGGUGAGGAGCACUGUCCUUGUUGCUUUCCAUGGCUUCUCAGCUAAGAGAGAGAUGGCAGCAGGCAGGCAUCUCCAGGGCUGAUGGUCAGUUGCUUUCAUCACAAGAACCUGGACAGCCUCCUGCUUUGUCCUUUCUGCAUUGGGUAUGACUCAUUUGUGCUCAUCUCCUCCAGUUCUUGCCCUUCACCUCUCUGGAGGCAUGCCUUAUAUGCUCUGUAUAAAGUUAGAGUCUCAAAAAUAAACUGUGUAAUCAUUUGAUUUAGCAUUAUUGUAAAGUGUAUGGACCAAGGGACAACUUAUGAUGGUAGAAAAGCCAUUUCUUCCCUUUUGAGUCUUUUUAUCUGUAACCAGAUAUAUUGUAUAUCUGUGUGUGUAUAUAUAUAUAUUAUUAAUUUUUGGGCUAGGACUUCUUGGUAUGUAUUCACUUGUACUGGAGUUUCCUUAUAAAGGUAUUUUAAUUUCCCCAAGUAUGUUUUGUCUCUGGAAAUACUAUAAUUCCUGGGCUUCAAAGGAUUUGAAAGAACAGCCCCAAAUGCAUAGUAUCAUAGAGAAUCUGCUGUGAAAUAACUUGUCUACUACAUCUCAAGAAACAGCACUAGGUAGGUGAAAACUUGCUAUGGAGUAAUCACACUUUAUAUACUUUUACAUGAAUUUUGACUCUUGUCUUGCACUGAUUUUUCGAGUAUUGUCCUCUUGAUUCUUUUCUCUAAACUACAAAGUAAUGAUUGUCUAGUGAAGCAAACCCUGCAUUUGUUGUUUAACAAAUGGUAAGCUGCCUUCUAAUGCCCAAUGCAGCAGUUUUAAAAUAUCAGAAGUCUUAGUGUGUAUUUUGGGAAGAAUGCCCUUGGAACCAGAAUCAAUCAUCUGACUGAGCUGGAUUGGAAAAAAGAAGGGUACAAAGAGAGAAUAGUACUAACUAUUGUUUUUAUUAUCCUAAGUCUUGUUCUGUUCUCUUCAUGAGCUCUUGGUUUACAUCUUCUAGAGAAAUUAGUGCAUCUUUAAAAACAAAAAGACAAACACGAACAACCUCCCUCUUCAAGCUUUUUUAUAUUUGUUUGUUAGAUGUGGGUUGUCAGGCUCUGUUUGCAGCUGAUUGCCCAUUUUCUCAUGUAAACAGAUUCCAUUAACCUGAAAGAUGCAAAUCAGAAUAUUUGAAUUUCCAUUAAUACCAUUUUGGAACUGGACAGAUAGCUGCAAUUGUGUUUUUCUUAUCCUUGCAGUAAAGUACUGCAGUCCACUUCAUUCCUUGCUCACACAUUGCACCUCACACCUGUGCUAAGUGGGCAUUUUCUGAGCAAAGUGCAUUGUUUGCUCAACAAAGCAUAAAAGAUGACACAUGGUAUGUUGCUGGACACCUUAUCUUCUCUCUGCUAAUCGCUGUGGGUAAAGUGAUGAUGGUGCACUACCAUAUGACUCAGAAACAACUUUGCUGAAAACCACAAAUUUAUUUCAGGUAAGUUACAUCCCAGGUGUAUGUAUAUUUAAAUGUAACUGUGUAUUUGUUCCUGGGAAGAACCCAGAUACUUGUCACAAAUAACUGGCAACUGGAAGCGUCAGGACUGAUCUAUUUAGAAUAUGUCUACUCUCUCAUUCUGCGAGUACCUCAAGUGUUUAGGAUAUGGAUGAGUACAACUUCUACUGCUUGUCACUGAACUACUGCUGGUAAUUGAAAAUUGGAAUACAGUGUUCCCUGGAGAGUUUGUCAUGGAGCUCAAGAGGUUAAUAUGUAGUUAUGUGAUGAUACUAUAAUUUUAUAUGCAUCUGCAGAUACUGCUAAUAGACAUUAAAGUGGGCAUUUACAUCCUUAUUAUGGGUCAGUACUUGAUGUCAUAAUAAAAAAGUCACAUCAGAAAAGUACAGGAUAAAAAUCUGAUUAUGCACAUUUUGGAAUGUAAAUGGCUUUAAAAUUCAAAUUGUCACCUGGUGGGAGGAUCAGGAAGGAGUCAGAACAAGGGCAAAGGGGCAAAGCUGUGAGACACAAGGGGCAAGAUAAAGGAGGAAGAAGAGACAGGCAGGACUAGGCCUUUGCUUGAGUAGUUUAUAUCCAUAUGAAUACUAUACCCCAUUACU